UACGGGGGGGAGCAAGCGUUGUUCGGAUUUACUGGGCGUAAAGGGCGCGUAGGCGGCCUUGCAAGUCGGUUGGUGAAAGCCCGGGGCUCAACCCCGGAGGUGCGGCCGAGACUGCAGGGCUGGAGGCCGGAAGAGGAGGGUGGAAUACCCAGUGUAGAGGUGAAAUUCGUAGAUAUUGGGUGGAACACCGGUGGCGAAAGCGGCUCUCUGGUCCGGACCUGACGCUGAGGCGCGGAAGCGUGGGGAGCAAACAGG
rnacentral:rRNA from 1 species